rnacentral:lncRNA from 1 species
UGCGCUGCCAUGACGGCGAUUGAGUGGCGAUGGGUGGCAAAACAGAGUCUUGGAGACAAGGUCUUUGGCCAUUGGGCACCAGAGACAAGGCCGGCGCAAACGCGGCUUUGCCGGGAUUUAGAUGUGGCGAAGGCGUGCGUGGUCUGGUCGUGUCGAGCGGCGGAUUUGACUGGCGUGUGACAGGAAGGAAGGCGCUGCCAGCGAGGUCGCAGCAGGCGAGGUGACAGGGCGAGCGGCGGCGCAAGCGAGCACAAAAUAGCGGCUUGCCAGGGUACACUACUGGUGAGGCGGAAAAGGAGCUGUCUCUGCCGAAGUUAUGGUUGGCGAGAGCGGAAUCAUCGUGGAGUGAGCUCAUGGGCGGCGCAACUGUGGAG